rnacentral:rRNA from 1 species
GAUGAACGCUGGCGGCGUGCUUAACACAUGCAAGUCGAACGGGAAUUACUUUAUUGAAACUUCGGUCGAUUUAAUUUAAUUCUAGUGGCGGACGGGUGAGUAACGCGUGGGUAACCUGCCUUAUACAGGGGGAUAACAGUCAGAAAUGACUGCUAAUACCGCAUAAGCGCACAGAGCUGCAUGGCUCGGUGUGAAAAACUCCGGUGGUAUAAGAUGGACCCGCGUUGGAUUAGCUGGUUGGUGAGGUAACGGCCCACCAAGGCGACGAUCCAUAGCCGGCCUGAGAGGGUGAACGGCCACAUUGGGACUGAGACACGGCCCAGACUCCUACGGGAGGCAGCAGUGGGGAAUAUUGCACAAUGGGGGAAACCCUGAUGCAGCGACGCCGCGUGAAGGAAGAAGUAUCUCGGUAUGUAAACUUCUAUCAGCAGGGAAGAAAAUGACGG